rnacentral:lncRNA from 1 species
GAACUACUGGCAGCUUAGAGUGGAAUGAAGGGAUCGUUUGUUCUGCAGACGUUUUCGGCGAUACAUGUCGCCAUCAUCAGGCUACAGAACAAUGGAAAAUGUGAUACUUUCCUGAAUGAGUGCAUACAAGAAACACAGUCAAGAUUACUUUGAGAAGAUCCAACCCAGAGGCUAACAUUGAUAGUGGAUAGGCUGAUCAAGCACUGCCACUUCCCAGAUUUUUGGAAGCAUCAAAGAAUCACUGUACCAGCAUCUCCUAGGCUGUUUGCAUUUAUGAAAGUCCAUAAAAACCUAUUGGUACCUAGACCUAUUGUAGAAAAGAAGAAUGCACCAACUUAUAACUUGGAGAAAGCCAUCUCCAAAUGGUGCACUUCUAACUUAAGACAGAAUGAACAUUCAAUAACAGCUACAAUAGAAGCCCUGGUCAUGCUAAGAAUGAUUAAUUGGCAGUAUGAUGAUACAUUAGCAACAUUUGACUUUGAAAGCCUAUACCCCUCAUUAGAAUGACCAAUGUAUGGCCUUCUAUAGAUUUCUUUUACAGAACGUUUUGGAGGCAAGCAGUAAAGCUGCUUAUUUGAGGGAAAUGGCCCACCUCAUCUGCCAUCAGUCCUUUUUUUUAAAUUUAACAGACAAUUCUAUCAGCAACUUACAGGCAUCCCAGUAGGCUCAAUGACAGGGUUAUUAGUGGAGAUUGUGUUAAGGACUAUAGAACUGCAAAUACUCGCCAAGUUCCAACCAGAUAUCAU